GCCGCCGCGGUAAUACCGGCUGCUCGAGUGAUGGCCACUAUUACUGGGUUUAAAGCGUCCGUAGCUUGACUGAUAGGUCUCUUGGGAAAUCUUAACGCUUAACGUUAAGGCGUCUAAGAGAUACCGUCAGUCUUGGAACUGGGAGAGGUAAACCGUACUUCGGGGGUAGGAGUGAAAUCUUGUAAUCCUCGAGGGACGACCUAUGGCGAAGGCAGUUUACCAGAACAGCUUCGACAGUGAGGGACGAAAGCUGGGGGAGCAAACGGGAUUAGAUACCCC
rnacentral:rRNA from 1 species